UAUAAGUAAAAAGUGUGAAUAUUUUCGUAACUUACUUUUUUAUGUGAUAAAAUUAAUUUUAUUGGACUUCCAACAUAAAUUGAUUUAGCAAAACUCAGUUCAAAGGUUUAAAUCAGACCUAAAACGUCAGGACCCGCCCACGUACCUGCAUGCAGCUGUGGAAGAACAAGCCCAGACACGUUUCUUCACGGAGCCCAAUAGGAAAACACUUUACCGAACUCAUGUAAGUAACAAUUUAUAUUGUUAAAAGUCAGUAUUUGCCAGGAUUUAAAUGUAUACAUUUUCAAAAGCAUGGUUCAAUGUUAUAUUUAGUUUACUACUUUUCCCGCCGUAACAUUACAAACCCCCCCCCCCCCCCCCAAACACGAUAGAUAGAACUGCUCUCGUUUUGUUAUAAAAUAACAAAACUGUUUUAAGGCUGCAAUCACAACCAAAUUCAUGUAUAGUUGGUAAUAAUCGCGUUGUAUCAAUGUUUCUCAUAUCCGACACUAAUAAGUGCGAAUAUGUUUCAAAUCAACUUUUUUUUUAAAUUAUUUAUUUUUCCCCUUCGCGCUUGCCGUAGUUGCAAAGCAGAUUUCGCGGGCAGUUUGAGUUGGUGAUGGCGGCCACAACGUCCAUGUUGACUUCACUCGCUCUUUCUAAGCUGCCCAAGUCACGUCGGAGUUCAUUGACGGUAACUUUGUUGGCUUAAACAUCACAUUUAGGUUUAGGGUCUACUAGGCGCGAUGCGAGACGUCACAAGCGGGCUAACGUUGAGCCAAACAGCAGCUUCGAGGCACGGGCGGAAAUGAGAAGGAGUUUGGCCCCCAGUCAGGUCGCCAAACGGAAGCAAGGGGAGGAUGAUCAUCGAGACGAAAUAUAGUAUAUUAACCACGAGCGGUUCUCGAGAGAAGAUGAAUGGAGAAAAUUGGGACAGUGAUGAAGAAGUCCAAGUUCCAUGGCCACUCAACAAAGCAGGAGGAAGGAAGCAGUCACAAACCAAAUACGUGGCAAGAAUUCUGAGAUUUGGUGAAGACACACGUGAACUGACGCCAUAUUUGAAAGCCGCUCAGGAUGGCAAGGAUGUACCCCUUACUGGUGAUUUGGAAUAUGGCAGAGGCAAGAGAAACAAACAGCCAAAGUCUUGGUCAUCAGACAGUGAGAGCAAGGAUGAAAGUGUUGAGGAGACUCUAUCUGACAGACAGCAGAAGAAAAAGAGGAAAGUAAGCCGUACAGCUGUGGGAUAUGAUGCUCGGGCACAAUUGAAGGCCCAACUUGCUGCUCUGGGAAGAACUUCACCGAAAGAUACAUGUACAGAAAUGGAAUCCCUGAAGAAGGAAGUCCUCCAGUUGAGAGAGGAAAACAAAUCCCUUCGAGAUGCAUUGAGGGUUGUUGAAGGACUUCCUGGCCUGCUAAUGAAGAUGGACGACUUAUCACAUCAGGCAACAAUACUAUCAGCUCGACGUCCUGCUGUCGCUCUGCCAGAGAGGAGCUGGCCAACAGCAGCUUGACAGGAAAAAAAUCCAAUGCUUUUAAGGAUAAGCAUGAGAAACCAAAACUGGAUGACAAGAAAGUGUCUGCUAUUAUUGAUUUUGUGAAGAAGCUCCAUCCCUCAAGUGAAGCAAAUGUGAUAAAGAAAAUCAUUGGAGUGAAACUGAACAUUGCGCAGAAAAUGGGAAAAAAAGAAGGCCUCAGAAACAAAUUCUGCUGGACGUC